rnacentral:rRNA from 1 species
CCUACGGGAGGCAGCAGUGGGGAAUAUUGCACAAUGGGGGAAACUCUGAUGCAGCGACGCCGCGUGAGUGAAGAAGUACUUCGUUAUGUAAAGCUCCAUCAGUAGGGAAGAAAACUACGGUACCUGAGGAAGAAGCCACGUCGAACUACGUUCCAGCAGCCGUGGUAAUACGCAGGGGGCAAGCGUUAUCCGGAUUUACUGGGUGUAAAGGGAGCGUAGAGGGCAGUGAAAGUCUGUAGUGAAAGGCGGGGGCUCAACCUCCGGACUGCUGUGGAAACUGUACGGCUGGAGUGCGGCAGAGGUAAGUGGAAUUCGUGGUGUAGCGGUGAAAUGCGUAGAUAUUAGGAGGAACACCAGUGGCGAAGGCAGCUUACUGGACUGUAACUGACGUUGAGGCUCGAAGGCGUGGGGAGCGAACAGGAUUAGAUACCCGUGUAGUC